rnacentral:lncRNA from 1 species
GUUUGCAGACCAGAUGAUGAUUAAUUAGUAUAAUGUCAAGUGUGAAUGAAGUGCUCUAUUUAUUUAGUAUUAUAACUACACGUAAGCCUUGUUUAGAUCCAAAAAGUUUUUGGAUUUCGACACACUAGCAUUUUCGUUUUUAUUUGACAAACAUUGUCCAAUUAUGGAGUAACUAGGCUCAAAAGAUUUGUCUUGCGAUUUACAGGCAAACUGUGUAAUUAGUUUUUGUUUUCAUCUAUAUUUAAUGCUCCAUGCAUGUGCCGCAAGAUUCGUUGUGACGGGGAAUCUUGAAAAGUUUUUGGUUUUUGGGGUGAACUAAACAAGGCCUCUAGACCAUAAAUCAUACUGCUACACACUGUUAUUGUUUAUUUAUUUGUUGAUGAGUAAAAAAUACUCUACUCUCUCCGCUUUUUUAUGGUUUUAUUAUUUCAUUUUAUUUAUUAGUCUGAUGAUAAGGGCAUUGAUGAGAUGCAUCCAUGCAGAUGCAGGGCAGGGCAGCCAUGGCCUUGUUUAGUUCCAAAUUUUUUUGCAAAACAGGUACGGUAGCACUUUCGUUUGUUUGUGAAAAAUAUUGUCCAAUCAUGAAUUAACUAGGCUUAAAAGAUCUGUCUCAUCAAUUCCAACCAAACUAUGCAAUUAGUUUUUAUUUUCAUCUAUAUUUAAUACUCUAUGUAUGCGUCUAAAGAUUUGAUGUGACGAUGUGACUGGAGAAUCCGAAAAAUUUUGCAAAUUUUUUUGAACUAUAGAGCACCAUGUCCGUCCAUGUGCCUCUGUUGUGCCUGCCUGCCUGCUGCUGCUUUGUUUACAGUUGAUUAUGAGUCACUGACCCUUUGCUUUGCAUUUGCUGCCUCGUCAGCACACCACGUGCACGUGCUGAUGUGCACCGACACCCGCCACACACUGUUCCAGGCUUCCAGCACUGU